rnacentral:rRNA from 1 species
UACGUAGGGGGCAAGCGUUGUCCGGAAUCAUUGGGCGUAAAGAGCGUGUAGGCGGCUCGAUAAGUCUGCUGUGAAAGUCCAGGGCUCAACCCUGGAAGGCCGGUGGAAACUGUCGGGCUAGAGUCCGGAAGAGGCGAGUGGAAUUCCCGGUGUAGCGGUGAAAUGCGCAGAUAUCGGGAGGAACACCAAUGGCGAAGGCAGCUCGCUGGGAAGGUACUGACGCUGAGAAGCGAAAGCGUGGGGAGCAAACAGG